AGAUUUCGACAACAGGAGUGUGAGCCAGGACAAAGAGACAUGGACUUUAAGAAGGUGUUGCUGUUGCCCCACUGCUGACAUCACAGAAAGUCUCCUUCCUUGAAACCACAGGAGCAGAAGUCCAAGAGCAGAAGCCCACUGCUGAGGCCAGUACUGCUAGGAACACCUACACUGCAAUUGCUGAGUUGUUGGAAGCUCAGUUUGGACCAGCUUGAGAGUGAGACUCCAGAUAAUAUGCCCAGGAGCAGGAUUGCUGUAUCAUAUGGUAA